GGCGGAGGAUGCAAGCGUUAUCCGGAAUUAUUGGGCGUAAAGCGUCCGCAGGUGGCUGUUCAAGUCUGCUGUCAAAGCGCAGAGCUUAACUCUGUACAGGCGGUGGAAACUGAAGAGCUAGAGUAUGGUAGGGGUAGAGGGAAUUCCCGGUGUAGCGGUGAAAUGCGUAGAUAUCGGGAAGAACACCAGUGGCGAAAGCGCUCUACUGGGCCAUAACUGACACUGAGGGACGAAAGCUAGGGGAGCGAAAGGG
rnacentral:rRNA from 1 species